GAAGGGUUAGUUAAAUUAUAACAUUGCCUUGUCAAGACAAAAUUAUUAGUGAGACUCUUGUACCCCUCU
rnacentral:tRNA from 1 species